GUAACGGGUCACCAAGACCGCGAUGGGUAGGGGCCCUGAGAGGGGGAUCCCCCACACUGGUACUGAGACACGGACCARACUCCUACSSGAGGCAGCAGUGAGGAAUAUUGGACAAUGGGCGGGAGCCUGAUCCAGCCAUGCCGCGUGCAGGAAGAAUGCCCUAUGGGUAGUAAACUGCUUUUAUACGGGAAGAAAAAGAGCUACGUGUAGCUUACUGACGGUACCGUAAGAAUAAGGACCGGCUAACUCCGUGCCAGCAGCCGCGGUAAUACGGAGGGUCCGAGCGUUAUCCGGAAUUAUUGGGUUUAAAGGGUCCGUASGCGGGCCGAUAAGUCAGUGGUGAAAGUUUGCAGCUCAACUGUAAAAUUGCCUUUGAUACUGUCGGUCUUGAGUUAUAGUGAAGUUGCCGGAAUAUSUAGUGUAGCGGUGAAAUGCAUAGAUAUUACAUAGAACACCGAUUGCGAAGGCAGGUGACUAACUAUAUACUGACGCUGAUGGACGAAAGCGUGGGGAGCGAACAGGAUUAGAUACCCUGGUAGUCCACGCCGUAAACKAUGSAUACUAGCUGUCCGGGUCCUUG
rnacentral:rRNA from 1 species